CAUGCUUUCUGUUUCCCGCUUUGGCUAUUCUACUGGGGCUAGGGUUUAUCAGUCUUUCAUAGAGGGGAUCAAUAUUUAAUUCGACUAAAUUUGUUGCUUCUUUCUCUAUUUUGAUCAGCGGGCUGUCUAAAUCAACUCUUGAACUUCGAAAUGUUGGAUGAGAACAAGUUUGAUGUGCAUUUCAAGUUACUGGCACUGAGAAUCCCUCGUGAAUUCUGCAAGAGCUUCACUCGCUUACUAAAUGGGUACUUGUUUGAUAAAGCUCGGGUUAAACCCAUUACUGAAGAUCCUACUUGCGAUAAGAAUCGUUAUGUUAUAUUAUCUGAAAGUGUUCAAACACCUGAUUUGUCGGAAAUUCCAGCUGAAAAACUUGAUGAGCUAAAGAAAUUAUGCAAGAUUGAAGUGGUUCCUUAUUCUAUUACUCUUGGAUAUUCCUACUGGGGUGCAGAUCAUAUAUUGAAGCAGAUCCUACCUCCUGGAGUGGAGAUCCCUUCAUCUUUUGAAACAAUAGGUCACAUUGCACAUCUGAACAUACAUGAUGAACUACAUCCUUACAAGGAUGUAAUUGCUAAAGUUAUAUAUGAUAAGAAUCAUCCCAGGAUUAGAACAGUUGUUAAUAAAGUUGGAACUAUUACAAAUGAGUUUCGAGUACCGAAGUUUGAAAUUUUGGCAGGAGAAAAUGAUAUGGUCACAGAAGUGAAGCAAUAUGGAGCAACAUUCAAGCUUAAUUAUGGCUUGGUUUACUGGAAUUCAAGGUUGGAACAUGAGCAUAUAAGGCUAGUUUCCCAAUUCCAACCAGGGGAGACAAUUUGUGACAUGUUUGCUGGAAUUGGCCCUUUUGCAAUUCCUGCAGCGCAGAAAGGAUGUUUUAUUUAUGCAAAUGAUUUGAAUCCGCACAGUUUUCAAUAUCUGAGGAUUAAUGCAAAACUCAACAAGGUUGAGGAUCUCAUAUUUGCACACAACAUGGACGCCAGGAAAUUUAUUUCCCAACUGAUGACAGUGCCAAUUUGUCAAGACAAUUUAGAAUCUGAUGCAUCCCCUCUUAUUGCAUGUGGUAAUCAUAGCAUACAGACCAACAGGGAAACUCAGGGGGCAAGUGAUAAUGUCACAAGUGAUUAUGAGGAUGUACAAGAUUCAUGCAGGCAGGCAGAUGCAUCUGUAGCUGCAGUCAAAAGGCCUUCAUGUUGUUUCCAGGAAGAAAGUGAAAAUACCCAUGGUGCUGCUAUUCCCUUCAGUUCUACGAGAAAAGGAAGUGCAAAUAAGAGAUUGAAAACUUCUGAAUUGGCCAAUGCUAAACCUUGGGAGCAUGUUGAUCAUGUAAUAAUGAACCUUCCUGCAUCUGCCUUACAAUUUUUAGAUGCAUUUCGGGGUGUUAUCCAGAGGAAAUAUUGGAAGGGGCCUCUUCCUUGGAUUCACUGCUAUUGCUUCAUGCGGGCAAAUGAAACCAAAGAAUCUGUAAUCUUGGAUGCUGAAACUGCUUUAAGUGCUCAUAUCCAAGACCCGAUAUUUCACAGGGUCAGAGAUGUUGCUCCAAAUAAGGCAAUGUUUUGCUUAAGCUUUAGGCUACCAGAAGCAUGCUUCAAAGAUAAUGGUGCUAACCUUCAUUCUCCAAAUGGAAAUGCAUGAUCUCUCUUUGCUUCAAAGAUGAUCACUCUUUGCUACUUAAUAUCUAGGACUCUAGUGGCCUUAGCCCCAUGUACUCUGAAUAUAUCAACAUAAGCAUUAAGGAAAAAUUUUAACAAACUAACAUUUUAAGGAAACUUGAUAUAAGAUGCAUCUUUUAUUUCCAUUACAAGCAUAUACUGUCAUUGCAAUAAUGUAUAUGCACAUCUUCACUAAUAGUCAGGAGUUAUGAUUAAGCAAUCCAUUCUUUUCUGUGUUAUUUUGGUUGAACUUGCAGCGCUCACUCAGUGAGUGAAUCACAUAACAACAAUCGAGUCUUCAAUCCCGAGCUGAUUGGGGUCAGCUAAACAGAUUCUUUUUGCUAUUUGGUGUUCCUCACAAACGCAGCACAGAAUUAAUAUAUGCUGAAGAAGUGAAAGACUAAAGUGAUAAGAUUAAAAAGCCGUUGGCUGCUUACCAGACAUUUAUGUCCAAUAUCGCCUUUUCAAAGUGCUAUUACUAACUAGAAGCGAUCAGCCUAUGUUAUGCUAGAAGUGAAGGUGCAAGUGAAGCUACAGCAAUAUUAGAGUUCAAUUAUGUAAAUUAAGGGUUUAUUUGGUUGGGGUAAACUUAGAUAACUUAAACUUGACUUUCCCAAAAGGUGUUAAAAUUAUAUCUAUUUGGUCUUUUUUUUUUUCCGAA